rfam:Capsicum annuum cultivar Zunla-1 chromosome 6, whole genome shotgun sequence
UUUUGGUGAUGCAGGAAAUCUCUAUAAAAAGACUUGGAUCUUUCCCAUACAUGAUAGAGAUUUUUAUCUAUCUUCUUCUUAAAACUUAAGAUCUCGCUUCUCAGCCU